rnacentral:misc_RNA from 1 species
AAGGAGUCUAACAUAUAUGCGAGUAUUUGGGUGGCAAACCCUUAUGCGAAAUGAAAGUGAGUACGAGGGGGAUCCCGCAAGGGCGCACCAUUGACCGAUCUUGAUAUCACUUGAUAGAUUCGCGUUAGAGCAUAUCUGCUGGGACCCGAAAGAUGGUGAACUAUGCCUGAAUAGGAUGAAGCCAGAGGAAACUCUGGUGGAGGUCCGAAGCCGUUCUGACGUGCAAAUCGAUGGUCAAAUUUGGGUAUAGGGGCGAAAGACUAAUCGAACCAUCUAGUAGCUGGUUCCCUC